rnacentral:rRNA from 1 species
AGCAGUCGCCGCGGUAAUACGUAGGGCGCAAGCGUUAUCCGGAAUUAUUGGGCGUAAAGAGCUAGUAGGCGGUUUGUCGCGUCUGCCGUGAAAGUCCGGGGCUCAACCCCGGAUCUGCGGUGGGUACGGGCAGACUAGAGUGAUGUAGGGGAGACUGGAAUUCCUGGUGUAGCGGUGAAAUGCGCAGAUAUCAGGAGGAACACCGAUGGCGAAGGCAGGUCUCUGGGCAUUAACUGACGCUGAGGAGCGAAAGCAUGGGGAGCGAACAGGAUUAGAUACCCCUGUAGUCCCUGUCUCUUAUAC